CAGCCGCCACGGGAAUACGUAGGGUGCAAGCGUUAAUCGGAAUUACUGGGCGUAAAGCGUGCGCAGGCGGUUAUAUAAGACAGAUGUGAAAUCCCCGGGCUCAACCUGGGAACUGCAUUUGUGACUGUAUAGCUAGAGUACGGCAGAGGGGGAUGGAAUUCCGCGUGUAGCAGUGAAAUGCGUAGAUAUGCGGAGGAACACCGAUGGCGAAGGCAAUCCCCUGGGCCUGUACUGACGCUCAGGUGCGAAAGCGUGGGGAGCAAACAGGAUUAGAUACCCGGGUAGUCCCUGUCUCUUAUAC
rnacentral:rRNA from 1 species